rnacentral:rRNA from 1 species
AUGAACGCUAGCUACAGGCUUAACACAUGCAAGUCGAGGGGCAUCAGUUUGGUUUGCUUGCAAACCAAAGCUGGCGACCGGCGCACGGGUGAGUAACACGUAUCCAACCUGCCUCAUACUCGGGGAUAGCCUUUCGAAAGAAAGAUUAAUAUCCGAUAGCAUAUAUUUCCCGCAUGGGUUUUAUAUUAAAGAAAUUCGGUAUGAGAUGGGGAUGCGUUCCAUUAGUUUGUUGGGGGGGUAACGGCCCACCAAGACUACGAUGGAUAGGGGUUCUGAGAGGAAGGUCCCCCACAUUGGAACUGAGACACGGUCCAAACUCCUACGGGAGGCAGCAGUGAGGAAUAUUGGUCAAUGGACGCGAGUCUGAACCAGCCAAGUAGCGUGAAGGAUGACUGCCCUAUGGGUUGUAAACUUCUUUUAUAUGGGAAUAAAGUGGUCCACGUGUGGACUUUUGUAUGUACCAUAUGAAUAAGGAUCGGCUAACUCCGUGCCAGCAGCCGCGGUAAUACGGAGGAUCCGAGCGUUAUCCGGAUUUAUUGGGUUUAAAGGGAGCGUAGGCGGAUUGUUAAGUCAGUUGUGAAAGUUUGCGGCUCAACCGUAAAAUUGCAGUUGAUACUGGCAGUCUUGAGUGCAGUAGAGGUGGGCGGAAUUCGUGGUGUAGCGGUGAAAUGCUUAGAUAUCACGAAGAACUCCGAUUGCGAAGGCAGCUCACUGGAGUGUAACUGACGCUGAUGCUCGAAAGUGUGGGUAUCAAACAGGAUUAGAUACCCUGGUAGUCCACACAGUAAACGAUGAAUACUCGCUGUUUGCGAUAUACAGUAAGCGGCCAAGCGAAAGCAUUAAGUAUUCCACCUGGGGAGUACGCCGGCAACGGUGAAACUCAAAGGAAUUGACGGGGGCCCGCACAAGCGGAGGAACAUGUGGUUUAAUUCGAUGAUACGCGAGGAACCUUACCCGGGCUUGAAUUGCAGGAGAACGAUCCAGAGAUGGUGAGGCCCUUCGGGGCUCCUGUGAAGGUGCUGCAUGGUUGUCGUCAGCUCGUGCCGUGAGGUGUCGGCUUAAGUGCCAUAACGAGCGCAACCCUUAUCUUCAGUUACUAACAGGUCAUGCUGAGGACUCUGGAGAGACUGCCGUCGUAAGAUGUGAGGAAGGUGGGGAUGACGUCAAAUCAGCACGGCCCUUACGUCCGGGGCUACACACGUGUUACAAUGGGGGGUACAGAAGGCCGCUACCUGGUGACAGGAUGCCAAUCCCAAAAACCUCUCUCAGUUCGGAUCGAAGUCUGCAACCCGACUUCGUGAAGCUGGAUUCGCUAGUAAUCGCGCAUCAGCCAUGGCGCGGUGAAUACGUUCCCGGGCCUUGUACACACCGCCCGUCAAGCCAUGAAAGCCGGGGGUACCUGAAGUACGUAACCGCAAGGAGCGUCCUAGGGUAAAACUGGUAAUUGGGGCU